rnacentral:rRNA from 1 species
UAGGACGGCGCGGCUGCUUCGUUGAGCCGCGCCACGGAAUCGAGAGCUCCAAGUGGGCCAUUUUUGGUAAGCAGAACUGGCGAUGCGGGAUGAACCGGAAGCCGGGUUACGGUGCCCAACUGCGCGCUAACCUAGAACCCACAAAGGGUGUUGGUCGAUUAAGACAGCAGGACGGUGGUCAUGGAAGUCGAAAUCCGCUAAGGAGUGUGUAACAACUCACCUGCCGAAUGAACUAGCCCUGAAAAUGGAUGGCGCUCAAGCGUGCUACCCAUACCUCGCCGUCGGGGUAGAAACGACGCCCCGACGAGUAGGCAGGCGUGGGGGUCCGUGACGAAGCCUUGGGAGUGAUCCCGGGUCGAACGGCCCCUAGUGCAGAUCUUGGUGGUAGUAGCAAAUACUCAAAUGAGAACUUUGAGGACUGAAGUGGGGAAAGGUUCCAUGUGAACAGCAGUUGGACAUGGGUUAGUCGAUCCUAAGGCAUAGGGAAGUUCCGUUUGAAAGGCGCCCUCGUGCGCCGUGUGCCGAAAGGGAAGCCGGUUAACAUUCCGGCACCUGGAUGUGGAUUCUCCACGGCAACGUAACUGAACGCGGAGACGUCGGCGGGGGUCCUGGGAAGAGUUCUCUUUU